GUGCAGCAGUCGCGAAUCCUCCGCAAUACACGAAAGUGUGACGGGGCCAUCCCGAGUGCCGUCCGCUGAGGACGGCUUUUCCCCAGUGUACAUAGCUGGGGGAAUAAGGAGAGGGCAAGCCUGGUGUCAGCCGGCCGCGGUAAUACCAGCUCUCCGAGUGGGUGGGGACGCUUAUUGGGGCCUAAAGCAUCCGUAGCCGGCUGGGGCAAGUCCUCCGUCAAAUCCAACGAUUCAAUCGUUGGGCUGCGGGGGAUACUGUCCAG
rnacentral:rRNA from 1 species